UCUGUCUCUCAGGUUCAAACAAUUCUCCUGCCUCAGCCUCCCGAGUAGCUGGGAUUACAGGGAAGGAGCCGUUCCUGUAAACUGUAGCUGCUGCACAUAUGCACGGGAAUGGAAGAGUAAGACAGCACCAGGCCUCUUAUGGAACCAAUCUACAUUCCGGGCAAGACCCUGAAGACAUCGAGGUUGAAGGCUCAGACACCUGAAGACGUGGGCAAAUGGACUGGGAGACAGGAUGCCUGAGAGACCAGGAGGCUGCACACACGCCCUGAGCAGAAGUCACCUGAGAUACCUCCGGUCUGUCUGCCCUGGGUUAGCCUAUAGUAAUCACAGAUGAGCAAUUACCAGAACUCCUAACAUCACCACAGACUGACAACACCUUACACACACGCUUUUCUGGGAAACAAAAGUAGCCUUUGGAUAGGGGAGGUGUAAGGAAGACCCUGAGCAAAUAACCCACUCUGGUCUCUACCUGAUAUCCCAGGGCUGGU